UACGGGAGGCAGCAGUGGGGAAUAUUGCACAAUGGGGGAAACCCUGAUGCAGCGACGCCGCGUGGAGGAAGAAGGUCUUCGGAUUGUAAACUCCUGUUGUUGAGGAAGAUAAUGACGGUACUCAACAAGGAAGUGACGGCUAACUACGUGCCAGCAGCCGCGGUAAAACGUAGGUCACAAGCGUUGUCCGGAAUUACUGGGUGUAAAGGGAGCGCAGGCGGGCGAUCAAGUUGGAAGUGAAAUCCAUGGGCUCAACCCAUGAACUGCUUUCAAAACUGAUUGUCUUGAGUAGUGCAGAGGUAGGCGGAAUUCCCGGUGUAGCGGUGGAAUGCGUAGAUAUCGGGAGGAACACCAGUGGCGAAGGCGGCCUACUGGGCACCAACUGACGCUGAGGCUCGAAAGUGUGGGUAGCAAACAGGAUUAGAUACCCUGGUAGUCCACACCGUAAACGAUGAUUACUAGGUGUUGGAGGAUUGACCCCUUCAGUGCCGCAGUUAACACAAUAAGUAAUCCACCUGGGGAGUACGACCGCAAGGUUGAAACUCAAAGGAAUUGACGGA
rnacentral:rRNA from 1 species